GACGAACGCUGGCGGCGUGCCUAACACAUGCAAGUCGAACGCUGAAGCUUGGUGCUUGCACUGGGUGGAUGAGCGGCGAACGGGUGAGUAAUACGUGAGUAACCUGCCUUUGACUCUGGGAUAAGCCUGGGAAACUGGGUCUAAUACUGGAUAAGAUAUGUCACCGCAUGGUGCUGUGUGGAAAGGGUUUUACUGGUUUUGGAUGGGCUCACGGCCUAUCGGCUUGUUGGUGGGGUAAUGGCUCACCAAGGCGACGACGGGUAGCCGGCCUGAGAGGGUGGCCGGCCACACUGGGACUGAGACACGGCCCAGUCGCCAACGGUACGCAACGGUGGAGAGUAUUACACAAUGGGCGGAAGCCAGAUGCAACGACGCCGCGUGAGGGAAGACGUCCUUCUGGUUGUGAACCACUGUCAGCGCAAAAGAAGCGAAAGUGACGGUACGUGCAGAAGAAGCGCCGGCUAACUACGUG
rnacentral:rRNA from 1 species